rnacentral:tRNA from 1 species
GGGGAUGUGGCUCAAUUGGUAGAGUGCUUACCUAGCAUGCAUGAAGUCUUGGGUUUGAUCCUAAUUAGCACA